rnacentral:rRNA from 1 species
UAAUACGAAGGGGGCGAGCGUUGUUCGGAAUUACUGGGCGUAAAGGGAGCGCAGGCGGUUCAUUAAGUUAGGCGUGAAAGCCCCGGGCUCAACCUGGGAACUGCGCUUAAUACUGAUGAACUAGAAAACAGGAGAGGGUAGUGGAAUUUCCAGUGUAGAGGUGAAAUUCGUAGAUAUUGGAAAGAACACCGGUGGCGAAAGCGGCUACCUGGCCUGAUUUUGACGCUGAGGCUCGAAAGCGUGGGGAGCAAACAGGAUUAGAUACCCUGGUAGUCCACGCCGUAAACGAUGACAGCUAGAUGUCGGGGGGUUGCCCCUCGGUGUCGCCGCUAACGCAUUAAGCUGUCCGCCUGGGAAGUACGGUCGCAAGAUUA